AUGUUGGCUAAUGAAAAUAACUGGGCACCUCCCGAGCUACCUCCUGAGCCAGUUCCUGAGCCAAUUACUGAGCCUAUUCCUAAACCAACUCCGAAGAAGAGAGGUGUUCUAUUUCUCAGUCUCGAAGAUAUGCAAGAGGCAAAGAAAUCUAUGAAAGAAAAAGGUAUUAAAGCUGAAGAUGUUAAGAAUUUACCUCCUAUUGAAGAAAUACAUGGUCUUAAUUUACCGCCUGUUGAAGAAGUACAUGAUCUCAAUUACUUAUUUAAUGAAGAACCUCCCGAUAUCCCGACACAGGUAGUAAAGGUAAACUCUCUCUAUAGAUAUGAUAAAGCUGAAGUCCCUCCUACUAAAAUUGCUAGUCAGUGCUUGGAUGAGUUUGAUGACUUUAUGUUUAAGCAAGAUGACUUUAAUGCUUAUUUUGGUAGACAAUUAAAACAGAAUACCUUUAUGAUUAAACGCUUGGGUGAUUAUAUGGCUGAUAUUAGAGGUGAACUUAAACUUGUUAGCAAACAUGCUUCUAUGGUUACCACUCAAGUAGAACAAGUACUUAAAGCUAAAAAAGAAGUGCUUGAUGAAAUGAAUAGCAAGAAAAAUGAUUAUGCUAUUAGAGUGGCUACUAGAACUGGUAGAAUGACUCAGGAACCUUUGUAUCCUGAAGGCCACCCUAAGAGAAUCGAGCAAGAUUCUCAGAGAAACAAUAUUGAUGUACCUAGUUCUUCUAAAAGGAAGAAAAAGAAAAAUGAUAGGACUUUGCAAACUUCUAGUGAACCUAUUGCUGAACCACCUGAGAAUCCAAAUGAUAUUUCUAUUUCUGAUGCUGAAACACAAUCUGGUGAUGAACGUGAACCUAGUGAUAAUGUUAAUAAAAAUGUUCAUGUUGAUGCUCAACCUAGUGAUGAUAAUGAUGUAGAAGUUGAACCUGCUAUUGAUCUUGAUAACCCACAAUCAAACAAUCAACAUUAUGAUAAAAGAGAUUUUGUUGCUAGGAAACAUGGUAAAGAAAGAGAACCAUGGGUUCAGAAACCCAUGCCUUUUCCUCCGAAACCAUCCAAGAAAAAGGAUGAUGAGGAUUUUGAGCGCUUUGCUGAAAUGAUUAGACCCAUCUUUUUGCGUAUGCAAUUAACUCAUGUGCUAAAAACAAAUCCUUAUGCUAAGUAUAUGAUGGAUAUUAUUACUAAUAAAAGAAAGAUACCCGAAGCUUAA
rnacentral:rRNA from 1 species